AGUGAACGCUGGCGGUAGGCCUAACACAUGCAAGUCGAACGGCAGCACAGUAAGAGCUUGCUCUUACGGGUAGCGAGUGGCGGACGGGUGAGGAAUACAUCGGAAUCUACUUUUUCGUGGGGGAUAACGUAGGGAAACUUACGCUAAUACCGCAUACGACCUACGGGUGAAAGCAGGGGAUCUUCGGACCUUGCGCGAUUGAAUGAGCCGAUGUUGGAUUAGCUAGUUGGCGGGGUAAAGGCCCACCAAGGCGACGAUCCGUAGCUGGUCUGAGAGGAUGAUCAGCCACACUGGAACUGAGACACGGUCCAGACUCCUACGGGAGGCAGCAGUGGGGAAUAUUGGACAAUGGGCGCAAGCCUGAUCCAGCCAUACCGCGUGGGUGAAGAAGGCCUUCGGGUUGUAAAGCCCUUUUGUUGGGAAAGAAAAGCAGCAGGUUAAUACCCCGCUGUUCUGACGGUACCCAAAGAAUAAGCACCGGCUAACUUCGUG
rnacentral:rRNA from 1 species